rnacentral:rRNA from 1 species
UACAGAGACUGCAAGCGUUAUUCGGAUUCACUGGGCGUAAAGGGUGUGCAGGCGGCCAAGUGUGUCAGGCGUGAAAGCCCGGGGCUUAACCCCGGAAUUGCACCUAAAACUACAUGGCUAGAGCAUUGGAGAGGGUAGCGGAAUUCACGGUGUAGCAGUGAAAUGCGUAGAUAUCGUGAGGAACCCCAGAGGCGAAGGCGGCUGCCUGGACAAUUGCUGACGCUCAGGCACGAAAGCGUGGGGAGCAAAAGGG